rnacentral:rRNA from 1 species
GACGAACUGUGCAAACGUUAUUCGGAAUCACUGGGCUUGAAGAGUGCGUAGGCGGUUUCGUAAGUAGGGUGUGAAAGCCCCCAGCUCAACUGGGGAACUGCGUCCUAAACUGCGAGGCUGGAGUGAGGUAGGGGUGUGCGGAACUUCCGGUGGAGCGGUGAAAUGCGUAGAUAUCUGGAGGAACACCGGUGGCGAAGGCGGGUCUCUGGGCCGAUACUGACGCUGAGGAGCGAAAGCGUGGGGAGCGAACAGG